GCACUGCUGAAGAGUCCCACAAUAGGACGAAACGGCCGUUCACUGC
rnacentral:hammerhead_ribozyme from 1 species